rnacentral:rRNA from 1 species
GGGUUGUGAGGUUAAGCGACUAAGCGUACACGGUGGAUGCCCUGGCAGUCAGAGGCGAUGAAGGACGUGCUAAUCUGCGAUAAGCGCCGGUAAGGUGAUAUGAACCGUUAUAACCGGCGAUUUCCGAAUGGGGAAACCCAGUGUGACUCGUCACACUAUCAUUAACUGAAUCCAUAGGUUAAUGAGGCGAACCGGGGGAACUGAAACAUCUAAGUACCCCGAGGAAAAGAAAUCAACCGAGAUUCCCCCAGUAGCGGCGAGCGAACGGGGAGGAGCCCAGAGCCUGAAUCAGCAUGUGUGUUAGUGGAAGCGUCUGGAAAGGCGCGCGAUACAGGGUGACAGCCCCGUACACAAAAGCGCAUGUGCUGUGAGCUCGAUGAGUAGGGCGGGACACGUGGUAUCCUGUCUGAAUAUGGGGGGACCAUCCUCCAAGGCUAAAUACUCCUGACUGACCGAUAGUGAACCAGUACCGUGAGGGAAAGGCGAAAAGAACCCCGGCGAGGGGAGUGAAAAAGAACCUGAAACCGUGUACGUACAAGCAGUGGGAGCACCCUUUGGGGUGUGACUGCGUACCUUUUGUAUAAUGGGUCAGCGACUUAUAUUCUGUAGCAAGGUUAACCGAAUAGGGGAGCCGGAGGGAAACCGAGUCUUAAUUGGGCGUUAAGUUGCAGGGUAUAGACCCGAAACCCGGUGAUCUAGCCAUGGGCAGGUUGAAGGUUGGGUAACACUAACUGGAGGACCGAACCGACUAAUGUUGAAAAAUUAGCGGAUGACCUGUGGCUGGGGGUGAAAGGCCAAUCAAACCGGGAGAUAGCUGGUUCUCCCCGAAAGCUAUUUAGGUAGCGCCUCGUGAAUUCAUCUCCGGGGGUAGAGCACUGUUUCGGCUAGGGGGCCAUCCCGGCUUACCAACCCGAUGCAAACUGCGAAUACCGGAGAAUGUUAUCACGGGAGACACACGGCGGGUGCUAACGUCCGUCGUGAAGAGGGAAACAACCCAGACCGCCAGCUAAGGUCCCAAAGUCAUGGUUAAGUGGGAAACGAUGUGGGAAGGCCCAGACAGCCAGGAUGUUGGCUUAGAAGCAGCCAUCAUUUAAAGAAAGCGUAAUAGCUCACUGGUCGAGUCGGCCUGCGCGGAAGAUGUAACGGGGCUAAACCAUGCACCGAAGCUGCGGCAGCGACACUAUGUGUUGUUGGGUAGGGGAGCGUUCUGUAAGCCUGUGAAGGUGGCCUGUGAGGGUUGCUGGAGGUAUCAGAAGUGCGAAUGCUGACAUAAGUAACGAUAAAGCGGGUGAAAAGCCCGCUCGCCGGAAGACCAAGGGUUCCUGUCCAACGUUAAUCGGGGCAGGGUGAGUCGACCCCUAAGGCGAGGCCGAAAGGCGUAGUCGAUGGGAAACGGGUUAAUAUUCCCGUACUUGGUGUUACUGCGAAGGGGGGACGGAGAAGGCUAUGUUGGCCGGGCGACGGUUGUCCCGGUUUAAGCGUGUAGGUGUGUGUUCCAGGUAAAUCCGGUUCACUUUAACACUGAGGCGUGACGACGAGGCACUACGGUGCUGAAGCAACAAAUGCCCUGCUUCCAGGAAAAGCCUCUAAGCAUCAGGUAACAUCAAAUCGUACCCCAAACCGACACAGGUGGUCAGGUAGAGAAUACCAAGGCGCUUGAGAGAACUCGGGUGAAGGAACUAGGCAAAAUGGUGCCGUAACUUCGGGAGAAGGCACGCUGACACGUAGGUGAAGUGAUUUACUCAUGGAGCUGAAGUCAGUCGAAGAUACCAGCUGGCUGCAACUGUUUAUUAAAAACACAGCACUGUGCAAACACGAAAGUGGACGUAUACGGUGUGACGCCUGCCCGGUGCCGGAAGGUUAAUUGAUGGGGUCAGCGCAAGCGAAGCUCCUGAUCGAAGCCCCGGUAAACGGCGGCCGUAACUAUAACGGUCCUAAGGUAGCGAAAUUCCUUGUCGGGUAAGUUCCGACCUGCACGAAUGGCGUAAUGAUGGCCAGGCUGUCUCCACCCGAGACUCAGUGAAAUUGAACUCGCUGUGAAGAUGCAGUGUACCCGCGGCAAGACGGAAAGACCCCGUGAACCUUUACUAUAGCUUGACACUGAACAUUGAGCCUUGAUGUGUAGGAUAGGUGGGAGGCUUUGAAGUGUGGACGCCAGUCUGCAUGGAGCCGGCCUUGAAAUACCACCCUUUAAUGUUUGAUGUUCUAACGUGGACCCGUGAUCCGGGUUGCGGACAGUGUCUGGUGGGUAGUUUGACUGGGGCGGUCUCCUCCUAAAGAGUAACGGAGGAGCACGAAGGUUGGCUAAUCCUGGUCGGACAUCAGGAGGUUAGUGCAAUGGCAUAAGCCAGCUUGACUGCGAGCGUGACGGCGCGAGCAGGUGCGAAAGCAGGUCAUAGUGAUCCGGUGGUUCUGAAUGGAAGGGCCAUCGCUCAACGGAUAAAAGGUACUCCGGGGAUAACAGGCUGAUACCGCCCAAGAGUUCAUAUCGACGGCGGUGUUUGGCACCUCGAUGUCGGCUCAUCACAUCCUGGGGCUGAAGUAGGUCCCAAGGGUAUGGCUGUUCGCCAUUUAAAGUGGUACGCGAGCUGGGUUUAGAACGUCGUGAGACAGUUCGGUCCCUAUCUGCCGUGGGCGCUGGAGAACUGAGGGGGGCUGCUCCUAGUACGAGAGGACCGGAGUGGACGCAUCACUGGUGUUCGGGUUGUCAUGCCAAUGGCACUGCCCGGUAGCUAAAUGCGGAAGAGAUAAGUGCUGAAAGCAUCUAAGCACGAAACUUGCCCCGAGAUGAGUUCUCCCUGAGACUUAGAGUCUCCUGAAGGAACGUUGAAGACGACGACGUUGAUAGGCCGGGUGUGUAAGCGCAGCGAUGCGUUGAGCUAACCGGUACUAAUGAACCGUGAGGCUUAACCUUACAACGCCGAAG